UACAGAGGGUGCAAGCGUUAAUCGGAAUUACUGGGCGUAAAGCGCACGUAGGCGGUUUUUUAAGUCAGAUGUGAAAGCCCCGGGCUCAACCUGGGAAUUGCAUUUGAAACUGGGAAACUAGAGGGUGUGAGAGGGGGGUAGAAUUCCAAGUGUAGCGGUGAAAUGCGUAGAGAUUUGGAGGAAUACCAGUGGCGAAGGCGGCCCCCUGGCACAACACUGACGCUCAGGUGCGAAAGCGUGGGGAGCAAACAGG
rnacentral:rRNA from 1 species